CAUGAGACUAGUUGCCACUUGCCAGAUAACUACAAAUAAUUUAAGUACAACAAUACACCCACAAAUUAGGAUCAUCUUUGUAGAUCCCAUCACUUCAUCAUUUUGAAUGUUAUGAUACACAGCAUAAACGGACUCCGUUGUCCGCUUCGCUGUAUGUACAGCUUCCUAUACUAACUUAACUUCAACUGCUCUCCAGGGCUGGGGCAGUCGGCCUGCUAGUGAGGGCAGGCCUCAUUGUAAUAAUUGCAGAGUCAUUUGCACCUGCCCUCAGUGCAGCCCUGCCAGCUUCCAAGAACCUUGCAACUGCAUCCUCCGCAUACCUAUUUGCUUCACCCACAUUCAUGCCCUUGCCAAUGUCCGGGUAGGUGUUGAGGACAUGGUCGCCAUUGAGUUGCGACGCAAGUUGGAUCAUCUCCACCUGAAACUCCGAUAGGGAUGCAUCUUCCUUUGGCCCGAAUGGCCUCAGAGACUUGGUAACUUCAGGGAGUUUCUCUGGACAAUCAGUCCGAGGAGUCUUCCGCAGGGAGAAGUAGCUUUCAAAGGUUCCAGCCCAUGCAUCCCUUUUCGUUAGAAAAUUUGAAUUCAGAUUAAAGAGUUUCUUCACUGUAGCAGGAAUUGAUGAAUGCUCAAACUGUGAAGAUGGAGUUGGUCCAUUAGGCUCAUGGAUCACUGUACCCUUGUCAAUCCAAGGAGACACAAGGAUGGUGGGAACUCGAACCCCCAACCGGUUGAAUUUGAAGAAGAAGGGGGCGGGGCCGAUGAUGCCGUCUGGGUUGGGCACCCCGGAGACAGGGGUGGGAACGUGGUCAUAGAAGCCACCGUGCUCAUCAUAGGUGAUGAGCAAGGCAGUCUCAUUCCACUGUGGGCUGGCCCGGAGCGUCUCAUAUACCUCCUUAACGAGGCGUUGGCCGCGGGCGACAUCAUGAGAAGGGUGGUCGUCGUUGGCCGGGUCGAGGUCAACAUCAAAGUAACGCUGCUCAAUGACGGCAUAAUUGGGGAGCUUCCCCAAUCUGGCAUGGAGCUUGAACGCCAGCUUGUAGCUGUGGAAUUUGGUAACAUGCUUGAGGCGGCGGAGGCUCUUGAAGAAGAGAACGGCGGGGAUGUUCUGGUAGUAGAUACCGAAAGAGAGACCGUGGUCGUCAAGAGAGUCAAAGAUGGUCCGCUGGGGGAAUCCGCGGAUGAGGUCACGACGCACGUUGCUCUGCAAGCCGUGGGAGGUGGCGGAGUGGACGUAGAUGCGGUUGGGCUGGGUGGAGGUGGGGACGGAGGCGAACCAGCGAUCGAAGACGGCGAACUCGUUGGCCAGGGCGGUGAAGCUUGGGACGGCGGAUGGGGGGAAGCCGCUCAUGACGGUGUGGGCCAUGUCGGGGCUGCCGAGCAUGGCGGCGGCCUGCUGGACGAAGCCGUUCAUGGGGGCGGGGUCGGCGGAGGUGUCGUUGGAGCCGAAUAUCUGUUCGCGGAUGGCCUGGAAGGAGUGGCCGGGGUCGGAGUCAAUGAAGACGGCGGAGUCGGAGACGAAGACGUGGGGGGAGUCGGGGUCGGUGGUGGAGAGGGGGUUGGAUUCGCGGCCGGUGAGGCCGUCGAUGUCGGGGCGGGAGGAUUUGAGCCAGCCGAGCAUGUGAUCGAAGGAGCGGUUCUCCAUGACGAGGAUGACGACUGUUUUGAUGGGUCCCUUGAUCUCGCGGCGCUUCCUGGAGCGGCCGGCGUCAAGGCAGUGGGCGGAGGCGAGGAGGUAGAGGAGGGCCGCCAAGAGGAGCUGCCUCCGGCGGGACUCCAUUGGAAAGGGAGAAGGGGGUGAAUUCCGGAGAUCUCGG
rnacentral:misc_RNA from 1 species